rnacentral:rRNA from 1 species
AGCUCCAAUAGCGUAUAUUAAAGUUGUUGCAGUUAAAAAGCUCGUAGUCGGAUUUCAGGGCGGGGCUGCCGGUCUGCCGAUGGGUAUGCACUGGUGGGCUCGUUCUUCCUUCUGGGGACUGCGCCUACUCUUGACUGAGCGGGUGUAGGAAACAGGACUUUUACUUUGAAAAAAUCAGAGUGUUUAAAGCAGGCCAAGAUGCUCUUGCAUGGAUUAGCAUGGGAUAAUGGAAUAGGACUUUGGUGCUAUUUUGUUGGUUUCGAACACCGAAGUAAUGAUUAAUAGGGACAGUCAGGGGCACUCGUAUUCCGUUGAGAGAGGUGAAAUUCUUAGACCAAUGGAAGACGAACUUCUGCGAAAGCAUUUGCCAGGGAUGUUUUCACUGAUCAAGAACGAAAGU